rnacentral:rRNA from 1 species
UUUUUUAAUUGAAAACUUGUAUGAAAGGUUGAACGAGAUAUAAGCUGUUUCGAUAGAAUUUUAUUAAAACUUUACUUUUUAGUUAAAAGGCUAAAAUUUUAUUAAAAGACGAGAAGACCCUAUAGAGUUUUAUAGAAAAAAAAAUUAAAAAAUUAUAGAAAAAUUAAAUUUAAAUUAUUUUUACUAUUUUGUUGGGGUGACCGUAAAAUUUAUUAUACUUUUAUUUUUUUUUAACAUAAAUUAAUGAUUUUAUUGAUCCAAUAUUAUUGAUUAAAAAAUUAAAUUACCUUAGGGAUAACAGCGUAAUCUUUUUUUAGAGUUCUUAUCAAUAAAAAUUUUUGC